CAGUAGCCGCGGGAAUACGAGGGGGGCAAGCGUUGUUCGGAAUUAUUGGGCGUAAAGGGUGCGUAGGCGGCUUGACAAGUCUUGUGUGAAAUCUAUGGGCUCAACCCAUAGUCUGCACGGGAAACUGUCGGGCUUGAGAAUGGGAGAGGUGAGUGGAAUUUCCGGUGUAGCGGUGAAAUGCGUAGAUAUCGGAAGGAACACCUGUGGCGAAAGCGGCUCACUGGACCAUUUCUGACGCUGAUGCACGAAAGCUAGGGGAGCAAACAGGAUUAGAUACCCGAGUAGUCCCUGUCUCUUAUAC
rnacentral:rRNA from 1 species